rnacentral:rRNA from 1 species
UCCCCUAGUAACUGCGAGUGAAGCGGGAAAAGCUCAAAUUUAAAAUCUGGCAGUCUUUGGCUGUCCGAGUUGUAUUCUAGAGAAGCGCUUUCCGUGCCGGACCGUGUACAAGUCUCUUGGAACAGAGCGUCAUAGAGGGUGAGAAUCCCGUCUUUGACACGGACUACCGGUGCUUUGUGAUGCGUUUUCAAAGAGUCGAGUUGUUUGGGAAUGCAGCUCAAAAUGGGUGGUAAAUUCCAUCUAAAGCUAAAUAUUGGCGAGAGACCGAUAGCGAACAAGUACCGUGAGGGAAAGAUGAAAAGCACUUUGGAAAGAGAGUUAAACAGUACGUGAAAUUGCUGAAAGGGAAACGCUUGAAGUCAGUCGCGUCGUUCAGAACUCAGCCUGGCUUUUGCUCGGUGCACUUUCUGAAUGACGGGCCAGCAUCAAUUUUGACUGUCGGAUAAAGGCCAGAGAAAUGUGGCUCCUUUGGGAGUGUUAUAGUCUCUGGUUGCAUACGAUGGUUGGGAUUGAGGAACUCAGCAUGCCUUUAUGGUCGGGGUUCGCCCACGUUCAUGCUUAGGAUGCUGGCGUAAUGGCUUUAAACGACCCGUCUUGAAACACGGACCAAGGAGUCUAACAUGCCUGCGAGUGUUUGGGUGGAAAACCCGAGCGCGCAAUGAAAGUGAAAGUUGGGAUCCCUGUCGUGGGGAGCACUGACGCCCGGACCAGACCUUCUGUGACGGAUCCGCGGUAGAGCAUGUAUGUUGGGACCCGAAAGAUGGUGAACUAUGCCUGAAUAGGGUGAAGCCAGAGGAAACUCUGGUGGAGGCUCGUAGCGAUUCUGACGUGCAAAUCGAUCGUCAAAUUUGGGUAUAGGG